rnacentral:lncRNA from 1 species
GAUAUCAUAAUUCAGGAACUGAGUUGGGCAAAGAUUUUUGGACAGUCAACACAUAGGUAUUGAAUUAUUCGGAUGUCGUUCAAAGAAAUGUGUAUUGUAUUGUGUAUGUAAUUAUCAUGUAAAAAGAAAGUGAGAGAACUGAGAGUGGAAACAGAGGGUAAAGGAUGAAACAAAGAGAGGAGAGAGAGAGAGAGAGUGGUGAGUGAAUAAACUAGAAAGUCAUAGAAGUCAGUAUGCCACCGUGUAUUUUAUUGGAAUGAGAAAAUUUCAUUUGGCCUUUGGGGGAAUAAAAUAAUAUAAUAUUGGAUAGUG